rnacentral:rRNA from 1 species
UUUCGUUUCCUCGGCGGGUCCGCCCCUUGAUUGGGACGGCUCUGGCCCUUUGCUGUUGCUCUCUGCGUCUUGAUAAACAUAAUAGUUACAACUUUCAACAACGGAUCUCUUUGGUUCUGGCAUCUAUGAAGAACGCGGCGAAAUGCGAUAAGUAGUGUGAAUUGCAGAAUUCAGUGAAUCAUCGAAUCUUUGAACGCACAUUGCGCCCCUUGGUAUUCCAUGGGGCAUGCCUGUUCGAGCGUCAUUUGUGCCUUCAAGCUUUGCUUGGUGUUGGGUGUUUGUCUCGCCUUUGCGUGUAGACUCGCCUCAAAACAAUUGGCAGCCGGCGUAUUGAUUUCGGAGCGCAGUACAUCUCGCGCUUUGCACUCAUAACGACGACGUCCGCAAGUACAUUUUUACACUCUUGACCUCGGAUCACGUAGGGAUACCCGCUGAACUUA